AUACUUACCUGGACGGGGUCAAUGAGUGAUCAUGAAGGUCCAUGGCCUAGGCUUGUGACCUCCAUUGCACUUGGGAGGGGUGCUUGCUUAAGGUCUCCCCAAGAGGGAGAGCCUACGUCAUAAUUUAUUGUAGUGGGGACCUGCGUUCGCGCGGUCCCUUC
rnacentral:snRNA from 1 species